GGGAAUCGAACACCGAACCCCUCAGGGGCUACAUUGUGGGGCUAAUCUCAGGGACUUGGGUUCUGUUGGAAGCAUCUCUACACAGGUGCAUGUUUGUCAAGAAGAGGGCGAGGGAAGGGACAAAAGUGAUCAGGACAACAGGCUUGACGUCAAUCUUUAAUGGCUAAAAACCUGAAAUGUAUCAAUUUUCCUAUUUUUUUUAAUCUAUUUUCAUAAAAACCUCAUUUUGAUCCAUUUUUUUUGGUUUUAAAAACAAAACAACCCUCUGAAAUACGAGCUUCAUACAGCGGCUACAAUAUAUAAAUAUCAACAGUACUGUAUGCAUCCGGGAAAAGAAAAAACAGCACACGCACACACACACGCACACGCACACACAUGCGGUGAACAUGCACAGGACACACUGACAGCAAAAGAGAAACUAAAAACUGGAGAACCAGGAGUAUCACGUGUCCGUGUGUUGGAGGAUAACGCGCCGUCUUGCGCUCUGAGCUCUUCGUCGUUUCUUGUCUUUUGGCGAAGACGAAGACAUCCUUGACGUCUAAAAGGGCAUGUUGGUUUUUUUCCCUCUGGAUUUCACAGUGAAUUUAUCUAGGAAAAACAGUGUUUUGUGUAUAUAUCAAAUAUAUUUCAAUUCUUCGGAUAAAAACGCACACACACAAAAAAGAAAGGAGUUGUCAAAACAGAUGAAUAUACAAUCAAACUUACAUUAAUACUUAAUUGAAUUAUAUCUUGGACAUUUUCAUAUUUUUUAAAUGUGAUAUCCAGUCUCACACACAGUCACUCACACUCACACACAAACACACACACACACUUUUCAAAUAGUCUUGAAUUUGUAAUUUAAAGCAAAUUUGCAUUGGGAUCAGAAAGCACAAAUUUCAAAAACCCACUAUAGGUAUGUAUGAUGUUCACACUUAUAUAUCAUCAUAUAUAACCACAAACACUGAGAACUUCAGUUAUUUUACACAAUGGAAGUUGGAUUAUGGAUUGUACAGUAUUUACUGAGUAGUGGAACAUCACUGUAGAAAAUGACAGAUACUUUCCAUCAGAUAGUAAAAUCACAGGAGUCCAUAUUCAUAUUAACAAAUGCAGAUUUCAACCUAAAAAUGUUAAAUAAAUAUGCAAAUAUGAAUCUUAUUGCAGGCCAAACAAACAAAAGAUUAAAAAUAAUAUAGAUUUCCACACUUCGAUCCUUACUACAGUACCUUAGUUCAUAUUUUACAAGAACAGGUUGAAUCACAUUGGGUCCCUAAAAAUAGAUAAAAGACUAAAGACAAAACAAAAUCGGAUAGAAAAUAUGUUUUUCGAGACGCCUCUCUUUUGGUGUGACACCCGAAAAGACUCCGAAAAAAGAACAAAAGUAUACAUGAUGCCACACUUCAUAAGGAUUCAAAGGGAGCAGGACGAAAGCAGUCGAGAAUUGGAAUAAUUCCAACAGCCUACAGAGCUCUCCAGUGUGAGAGAAGGAACAAGAAGAGAUUGCCUUUGGUCUUUUGUUUCUUGGUGCCCGCUGUCCUCUCCACUGCACAGCCAAGGAGCCCUUCCUAAUUAUAGCAGGUCUGCGCUUUCCUUCCAUAAUGUGCUCUCUGGGGUAAUCUUACCUACCGCUUACUUCCUGCUUUAUGGGGGCCUUGAUGUGAGCGCCUAUACCUUUGUUAGGAGCGUUGGUUUUUAUAGUCGAAGAUGGAUGUUGAACGUCUGUUUGAAGACAGAGUGGUGUGUUUUGUUUUGGGGCGUUUGUCUGUUUUUCUCGAUUUGAGGGGGGGGGACGGCUUUAAUAGUUAAAACUGAAGCAGAAAAUCACUGAUGGAUAAGUUCAUCGUGUGGAAGAAGACGUUUCGGUUGGUUUGGCUUCGUCGGUUGAAAAGACAGCUUGCGGUGUAAGAGGGAAGAUGGGGGUAGGGACGGGCUAAAUGUACGUUCUGAUUAAAACGCGGAAAAAAGAAAGAGACAAAACUGCUUUGGUAUUGCAACUGUCCAUUUUCUUCUAAAAUGGCACCAACACGGGAGAAAAAACAACCCAAACCAAACAAUAGAAGUAGGAAAGUUUGAGGAUUACAAACAGGUUGCUCAGACACAGCACGACAUGAAUCAAUCGACAAUUUCAAACAUUGGCUUGAUUACAAAAAUACCUUUUUUUCGUAUUCCUUUAAAAUAUCUAAAAAUGUACAGCAUUGUUGUUUUUUGUAUUUUUUUCUUCUUUUGCAAAGUCAUGCUUCAACAUGUGUUUCGUAAUAAUCAUAAUAACAUUAAUAUGAAUGAUAUACAGAAUAGUAUUGAUCAAUAUCAUUAUUAUAGUACAACACCUGGAAGCACUUUGGUCACACGGACACACAUAAAGGCCUUCAACAUAAAAACAAAAAACAAAAAGAAAAGACUGCAUAAAAGGUGGAAAAUUUGUUUGGGGGAUCAAAAGCGUUAGCACGAGGUAAACCGGGCACUAAGUCCAACUCUGUUUGGGAUGGUAAGCUAACUAGCAGGUGGGUGUAGUAGACUAGUACCAGUGUGCAGGUACCUAAAAGAAGGCAUUAUGGUUGGUGUAGCCAGGGUGCCACCAGCGACUCUGGAGUAUGUAACAGUACAAAAAAAGAGGGGAGGGGAGGGGGGGGUCGAUGUGUGAUGGAGGCAGGGUCUACAAUGUCCUGAGGCCCGAAGAGGCUCUGCUGCUGCCUGUCAAGAGAGAGAGAGAGAGAGAGAGAGAGAGAGAGAGAGAGAGAGAGAGAGAGAG
ensembl:lncRNA